rnacentral:piRNA from 1 species
UUCUAUUUAGGGAGCUUCAACCUUAGUGGA